GUACACGAGCGGGCGAACGGGUGAGUAACACGUGGGUGAUCUGCCCUGCACUUCGGGAUAAGCCUGGGAAACUGGGUCUAAUACCGGAUAUGACCUCCUAUCGCAUGGUGGGUGGUGGAAAGAUUUAUCGGUGCAGGAUGGGCCCGCGGCCUAUCAGCUUGUUGGUGGGGUAAUGGCCUACCAAGGCGACGACGGGUAGCCGACCUGAGAGGGUGACCGGCCACACUGGGACUGAGACACGGCCCAGACUCCUACGGGAGGCAGCAGUGGGGAAUAUUGCACAAUGGGCGAAAGCCUGAUGCAGCGACGCCGCGUGAGGGAUGACGGCCUUCGGGUUGUAAACCUCUUUCAGCAGGGACGAAGCGCAAGUGACGGUACCUGCAGAAGAAGCACCGGCUAACUACGUGCCAGCAGCCGCGGUAAUACGUAGGGUGCAAGCGUUGUCCGGAAUUACUGGGCGUAAAGAGUUCGUAGGCGGUUUGUCGCGUCGUUUGUGAAAACCAGCAGCUCAACUGCUGGCUUGCAGGCGAUACGGGCAGACUUGAGUACUGCAGGGGAGACUGGAAUUCCUGGUGUAGCGGUGAAAUGCGCAGAUAUCAGGAGGAACACCGGUGGCGAAGGCGGGUCUCUGGGCAGUAACUGACGCUGAGGAACGAAAGCGUGGGUAGCGAACAGGAUUAGAUACCCUGGUAGUCCACGCCGUAAACGGUGGGCGCUAGGUGUGGGUUCCUUCCACGGAAUCCGUGCCGUAGCUAACGCAUUAAGCGCCCCGCCUGGGGAGUACGGCCGCAAGGCUAAAACUCAAAUGAAUUGACGG
rnacentral:rRNA from 1 species